AAGAUGAAAAAUGAAAUUGAAGAAAAGUUCAAUUAUAUGAGUCUCUGGCUGUGCAGAAAUUCACAUUACAUUUUGAAUAUAUUCUAAUAGUUCAAUUCAAAUCUUCUGUUAUAUCGGCAAUAAACAGAAAUUAGUAUUAUUAAAACAAUUUGAAAAGAUUCCGAGUUGAAUUCGUUAUAGCCCACUUCCUAGAUCUUCACAAUUAAUCGUGCAAUUUCCAAAAUCCAGCUUGAUCCCACGUCUCGACGGCUUCUCGCCGCCAAAUUCGGGUGCAGUACAUGUAACUUUUGCAGUGUUUAAGUGAGAAUCGAAAUGCACCACAAUCCGGCAACAGUAGAGGAACAGUUGAUACUGAAAGCAAUAAGAGAAGAAUGCCCAUGGGAGAAUCUUCCCAAGCGCCUUCAAACUACCUUGAGUUCUAAAGAAGAAUGGCAUAGGAGGAUAAUUGAAUACUGCAUAAAGAAACGACUCCAAUGGAACACUUGUUUUGCUCGCAAAGUAGGCAAAGAAGGUGAAUACUAUGAAGAUAUGAUGCGCUAUUUGCGAAGGAACCUAGCAUUGUUUCCCUACCAUCUUGCAGAGUAUGUUUGCCGUGUUAUGAGGAUUUCACCUUUCAAAUAUUACUGCGACAUGAUAUUCGAAGUUAUGAAAAAUGAGCAACCUUAUGACAGCAUCCCUAAUUUUAGUGCUGCUGAUGCCUUGCGGCUUACAGGGAUAGGAAGAAAUGAAUUUAUUGACAUAAUGAACAAGUGUAGAUCUAAGAAAAUUAUGUGGAAGCUUAACAAGUCAAUAGCAAGAGAACUCUUACCUACUGAACCUGUGGACUUUGCCAUUGAGCCGUGGUGGGGGGUUUGUCUGGUCAACUUCACUUUGGAAGAAUUUAAGAAACUUUCAGAAGAAGAAAUGGCAACCAUUGAUAAAAUCUGCAAGGAGGAAGCAAAUUCAUUCAUCCUUUUUGAUCCUGAAAUUGUCAAGGGACUUUUUCGACGGGGACUCGUCUACUUUGAUGUUCCAGUCUAUCCUGAUGAUCAUUUUAAAGUUUCCAGGCUUGAAGGAUUUGUUUCAAACAGGGAGCAGUUAUAUGAAGAUCCCAUUGAAGAGUUGCUUUAUGCUGUAUUUGUGGUAUCAAGUGAGAAUUCCACUGUUGCUGAACUGGCAACAACAUUACAGGCUGAUCUCUCUCAGCUGCAGGCUGCUGCAUCAUUUGCUUGUCGGUUGGGAUGGGCAGUAAAAAUAAUAGACCCUGCUUCUAUUCUUCAAGAAUCAAGUAUGCCUGGCAGUCCUAAAAGUCUUCUCAGUGAGGAAGAAGAAGGUUCCCUUGCUAGUAUGGGCUCCGCCAACCUGUCCACCGAUGGUGGCACCACUCAACAAGGAGAUAUUUUAUGGACAGAAAACUAUAGUCCAGCUGCUGAUUAUUCUCGUGUUGCUUUUGUUGUUGAUGCUAAUAUAACGUCUUAUCUUAUGAUGGGAUCUGUUUCACCAGGUCUUAAAUCUCAUGCUGUCACGUUGUACGAAGCAGGAAAACUUGGUAAUGCUAGCAUUGCAGAUCUUUGCAGGGAUCUAAGUACACUAGAGGGAACCAGAUUUGAAGGAGAAUUGCAGGAAUUUGCCAAUCAUGCAUUCAGCCUCCGGUGUGUCCUGGAAUGUCUAACGUCAGGUGGUGUUGUUACUGACGAGGAGGCUAGUUCUUUGACAUCUGAUGUUUCUUUGGUCAAUAAAUGUGGAGGUACUGGCACAAACGAAUCUCGGUCAAAUAUUGAGGAUUCUUUGGAUUCAAGGAUGACCAAAGAAGAUUAUGAUUCUGCUGAACUGUCAACUGGAAGUACUGGUGAUGAAGAGUUAUUUGCUAGCGUACCCAAGGAGAUUAAUCAUUCUGGGGAUUCCAAAUCAGAUCUUCAUGUACCAAAUGAUGAAAACUCAUAUUCCGUUGAAGGUUUAAAUGCUGGAAAAGAGAUGGCAAAGAAAAAGAGAAAAUACCGAGUGGAUAUUCUUCGUUGUGAAAGCUUGGCUGCUCUUCCACCAGCAACUUUAGAUCGUCUAUUUCUCCGUGACUAUGAUAUUAUCACGUCCAUGGUUCCACUUCCUCAUUCUUCUGUUUUACCUGGACCAAAAGGCCCCAUUCAUUUUGGCCCUCCUUCUCAUUCUUCUAUGACUCCCUGGAUGAAAAUGGUCCUGUAUUCUGCUGUAGGCUGUGGACCUCUUUCUGUAGUUUUGAUGAAAGGUCAAUGUUUGAGAUUGCUUCCUGCACCAUUAGCUGGUUGUGAGAAAGCCCUUGUAUGGUCUUGGGAUGGAUCUACAGUUGGGGGUUUGGGAGGGAAAUUUGAAGGGAAUUUAGUUAAAGGAAGCAUACUGUUACAUUGUUUGAAUUCACUUCUCAAAUACUCUGCUGUGCUGGUGCAACCUUUUAGCAGGUAUGACCUUGAUGAUAGUGGAAAACUUGUUACUUUAGAUGUUCCAUUACCUUUGAAGAACUCUGAUGGUUCAAUAGCAACAAUAGGAGAGGAACUGAAGUUAGAUUCACUUUUAAGUAGUAUUUCAAACAGAAUAAAUUUGUGGAGCAUCGGAUAUAUUAGCUUAUUAAGACUUUUUAAAGAACAAGAAUCAGAAAAAUUUUCAGUUGAUGGUGACAAGUAUGAGUGGGUUCCAUUAAGCGUGCAAUUUGGUAUUCCUCUUUUUAGUCCAAAAUUAUGUAAAGAUAUAUGUAGAAGAGUGGUUUCAUCUCAGUUACUUCAAACAGAAUUACUGACGGAGCAUCAUAGUGCAAUGCAAGACUUGAGGAAAAGGUUGCACAAUGUUUGCGCUGAGUACCAAGCAACUGGUCCAAUUGCGAGACUUCUUUACCAGAGAGAGCAGCCAAAGGAUUCAUCUCGACAACUGAUAACUUAUGCUAGCAGAAGAUGGAACCCGCUUACAGAUCCUUCUUCUCCUGUAUCUGGAGCCUUAAGUGAGCACCAGAGACUGAAACUUGCUAACCGACAGCGUUGCAGCACGGAAGUUCUGAGCUUUGAUGGUAAUAUACUCAGAUCAUAUGCUCUGGCUCCUGUUUAUGAGGAUGCCACUCGACCCAUUGAAGAUUCCGCUUCCGUAGGUACUGCAAAAGUUGAAUCGGAGGAUACUGAAAGCGCUGAAGUAAUUCUUCCUGGUGUAAAUCUUCUUUUUGAUGGAUCUGAAUUGCGACCUUUCGAUAUAGGUGCUUGCUUGCAGGCUCGUCAGCCUGUCUCCUUAAUAUCCGAGGCCUCUGCAGCAUCUGCUGCUUCUACAAUCAAUUAAGGUUUUGGACUUAAUCUGUCAAUGUUAUAGAUGGAUGCUUUUCUUUUCUCAUUUCCCGGUAGAGAAGAUAGUGUGCAUCAUGUUGUUAUUCACCGCUGCUGAUUCAUUGAUUCUUGCCCAUCUAUUGGUUGAUUGUUAGCAUAAGAUACGUCAGUUCUUGAGGAGGUGAUUUGGAUUUGUCGUACUGUCGUUUUUCUACAGUGAUUUAUUUUAUGCUGAGAGAGAGAUUCAAUACUAAUUUUGUAAUACAGUAUGGAUGAAAACAAUUCAAAACUAUCAAAAGUAUCCAUAUUGCUAUGAAAUGAUGAAAUGGUGAUAUAUUUAUGUUAAACACUUAUCUGUAUUUGUCAUGCUAAACAGGAACAACGUUUGGAGAAACAGAACUUUUGUUGAGUGUAGAUCUUGUGACGUGAUUUGUUAUGAACAAAUUAUAGGCGACAAGAAUAUUUGUCGACUUGGCUUCCGCUGUUUGUUAUCAAGUUGAUAAAAUUGGGAAUUUUGAA